CCUUUCUUUUGAGACAGUGGUCUUGACGCCGAGUACAUUCGGGGAGGGAGGGUUAGAGAGAGAUGUCGUCUCUAGGGACGUCGAAGGGGAUGCUCGAGAUAGCCAAGUUCGCGGCGUACGUAGCCGUUCCCAUCGCCGUCGUCUGCGCCGUCGCCGCCGACUCCUCCAGAACCCUGCACAAGUUCUUGGGAUUCCGCCCAUAUGUGGUCUACCCUCCUGAGGGUCCUCGUCCUCCAUCUCUAGAGGAGCUCCAAGAGAUGGCUCGCAAUAAAAAUCUCCGUUGAUCGAACACUUCUUCAAGUAGCAUGAUAAUGAUAAGCAUCAUAUACUAUAUUUCCUGUUGAAGCUGAAGGAAGCUGCAGGGAUCAGCCUUAUUCUGUGUGAUGGUGUUCCAGUGGUGUUUGAUCCAAGAGCUUAUGCAGUGCAACUGAUUUUUGGAAGAUAUUCAAAGGCUUCCUUGAUGUGUGGCUACCUUUGCGGAGCAGUUCGGAGCCCUAGCACAUGGACUAGAUCCAUUUUAAAGUAGUGUAUUGCCUGUAUUAAGGUGAGCAUGGUAUAGUUUUAUAAGACUCAACACGAUCACAAACAGUAGUUAGUGGUCUAAUAAAACUACAUGACAAGAUGCAUGGGGAUGCUGUGAAAUGCAUUUUCCUUCACCCCAAGAUAUAAUGCUCAAAUUCAGUUAGGCAAAUUUAAUGCUAUAUGGAAUAUUGGGAAACAAAUAUUUUGUUAGUCUUCAUAAUUCGGCAGGCUUAUGUAUUACCAAACAAAUAUUUAGGUCCUUAUUUGAGGCUUUUCUCAUUGUUUCUUUUUA